rnacentral:rRNA from 1 species
GAUGAACGCUGACAGAAUGCUUAACACAUGCCAGUCUUUGGCGAAUCUGUGCUUGCACAGGCUAGCCAAGGCGGACGGGUGAGUAACGCGUAAAGAACUUGCCCUGCAGACAAGGAUAACAGACGUAAACGACUGAUAACACCUGAUACAGUUGCCUGCACGCAUGUGCCUGGCAAUGAAAAGAGAUGCUGCAGGAGAGCUUUGCGUACUAUUAGCUUGUUGGUAAGGUGAUGGCUCACCAAGGCGAUGAUAGGGAGCCGGCCGGAGAGGGGGAACGGCCAAGAGGAGACUGGGAGACAGCACUUACUACUACGGGAGGCAGCAGUAGAGAAUAAUGGACAAAGGUGGCAACACUGAUGCAGCAAUUCUGUGUGCAAGAAGAAGGUUUUCGGAUUGUAAAGUGCUUUCAGCAGGGAAGAAGAAAGUGACGGUACCUGCAGAGGAAGCGACGGCUAAAUACGUG